rnacentral:rRNA from 1 species
GGUUAAGUGACUAAGCGUACACGGUGGAUGCCUUGGCAGUCAGAGGCGAUGAAGGACGUACUAACUUGCGAUAAGCGUAGAUAAGGCAGUAAGAGCCACUUGAG